rnacentral:rRNA from 1 species
ACGCUGGCGGCGUGCCUAAUACAUGCAAGUCGAGCGGACCAAAGGGAGCUUGCUCCUGGAGGUUAGCGGCGAACGGGUGAGUAACACGUGGGCAACCUGCCUGUAAGACUGGGAUAACAUCGAGAAAUCGGUGCUAAUACCGGAUAAUAAAAAGAACUGCAUGGUUCUUUUUUGAAAGAUGGUUUCGGCUAUCACUUACAGAUGGGCCCGCGGCGCAUUAGGUAGUUGGUGGGGUAAAGGCUCACCAAGCCUUCGAUCUGUAGCUGGUCUGAGAGGACGACCAGCCACACUGGGACUGAGACACGGCCCAGACUCCUACGGGAGGCAGCAGUGGGGAAUUUUGGACAAUGGGCGAAAGCCUGAUCCAGCCAUUCCGCGUGCAGGAUGAAGGCCCUCGGGUUGUAAACUGCUUUUGUACGGAACGAAACGGCCUUUUCUAAUACAGAGGGCUAAUGACGGUACCGUAAGAAUAAGCACCGGCUAACUACGUG